GUGAACUUUACCUCUACACAGGUUUUUAUUAAUCUCCCCCAAUGUUUCUAUCUAUAGAUUUGAGCGUCAGGACCCUUAAAUGGGGGAGCCCCUUACAUGGAAGACUGCUUCUCACCUUCGGACCGUAGAUCGGAUAAACGGUGCCCUGGCGUCACAAAGUGAACAAGGAUCUGUGGAUAUUGAAAGUCAAGGUGUAGGGAACGGGCAGUGACCUGAGUGUGGGGCCACAGACCAGACAUCUCCCCGCCAUUGUCACAUGAUGUUGUGUAAAUCUUCCGGUUCGUGGUCCUGUAAUGUAUUGUACAAUGAAUGACAAUGAAUGAGGCUCCAAUGUACAUGACCAUCAUGGUGCAGAUUGUCCCGCCUUGUCUCCUUGAUGGAUCCUGUGAUCUGCCUCCAUCCAUCUUCCUUACACCUUGUACAAAGCCCCUUCUCCCUUCUCAGACACUGUCACCUCCCAAAGUGACCGGGUUAAACUUUAAUCCUGUUCCCAAUUCAUCUCCCCUCACAUCGGGCCGAGGGCAUUAAGAACCGGGGUUAAUAGUUAACUUGGGGAUCAGUCAUCUACUGUAAGGGAAGAAGCGCUCCAUGCUCAUCUACAGGAAUCAAUCUUCCCCCCAGUAAUAAAUCUGCUCCAGGGAAGCAGCUCUGACAGAGGCUAUGGAACGCAGCCGCAUUGUGCGCCCCUACCCCCCGACAUAUUGUCCAUCCGGACCCCAGAGGUUUUCAUGCAGUUAAAUACAGUCUUGAAUUGUUCUCAUCAUUCUGUUUUGCUUUCUUUUUAACUCGUUAGUGUGAGAAUUUUUUCCUUAUUUUUUUUCUCUAUUUUGGUUUUAA